rnacentral:rRNA from 1 species
CACCCGUUCCCAUCCCGAACACGGUCGUAAAGACCUACUGCAGCGACAAUACUUGGCGGGCCACCGCCUGGGAAGAUAGCCCGUUGCCAGCA